ACGUAUGGAGCAAGCGUUAUCCGGAUUUACUGGGUGUAAAGGGAGCGUAGACGGUUGUGCAAGUCUGAUGUGAAAUUCCAGGGCUUAACCCUGGACCUGCAUUGGAAACUGUAUAACUAGAGUGUCGGAGAGGUGAGUGGAAUUCCUAGUGUAGCGGUGAAAUGCGUAGAUAUUAGGAGGAACACCAGUGGCGAAGGCGGCUCACUGGACGAUAACUGACGUUGAGGCUCGAAAGCGUGGGGAGCAAACAG
rnacentral:rRNA from 1 species